UCAUAUUUUCGAAGUGCCUAAACAAACUGUGAUCCGUACCGUGUGCAUUAACCAUCAGGAAACCUCUGGACUCGUAUAACGCCAUUAGUUCGCCUUAUGUUUCCUGUGAUACGCCAGUGUCUUAUGCGUACUACAGCGCCCGUCCGAGCUGCCUUUGUUCUCGCCUGUCCGCGUUCGCUCGUGGAAUACCUGGUACUGUGGCUUCGAAUUAUGGUGCGUGGAAGAAUUUUUUGAAAGUUGUGCUUUCGUGCGCUGGUGUUCAUCGGCAAUUCGACAGUGUUCGCGCCGGAAAGAGCGUCGUCGCGUGUUGCCUGCGAGACGAAGGAGCCGUUUGCUGACCACAUUGAAGGUCCCAAGCACCACAUUCCAGAGGUCUGCUGUGAGCAGACGUGGCAAAUUGCAGUAACAUCCAGAUAGUCCAAUAAACUGUUCGUAGUUUCAGACAAA
rnacentral:lncRNA from 1 species